CUCUGCCACCCUCCACACUAUCUCAGGUGACAACGCAGGCCUAAAAAACCCUGAAAUCACCCAACUCAACAAAGAAUCUGCGGCAAAAAUCAAGCUCACGGCCACUAAAAAUUUCCAAGAGAAGAACCCAAAGACCCAAGGUGUUGAGAGAACUGAAGGAUUGAACGAAACAGGGGUUCUUUGUAACAUAGGUUUUGAUGACGAGAAUUUCCUCAGAGAGCUCCGUUGAACGCUCAAUGGCAUGAGAUCCAGAGUCGCAUUGAUGCUGGCCAGGCAAAUCUCGCAUGUACAGUUAUCAUCUUUUAGACAACUCGGAAAAUAGCAGGUCUCACGGGUCUCUGAUCGGUCUCUCGCGGUGGUCCUUAUACUUCUAGCAGAGGAAGACGAAGUGAGUACGAAGGUCUUCAUUAAUGAACUUCUUCUUCUUCCUCUCUUUUCUGUUACCCUAAUAUGAUACAGAGACGACGAUUUCGAAAUUUAACUACCCCCAACGGUCUCUAAGAAACGGCCUCUGAUUCGUAAUCGCUAUAAACGUGAGUCUGGAUUUA